AGUGAACGCUGGCGGUAGGCCUAACACAUGCAAGUCGAACGGCAGCACAGUAAUAGCUUGCUCUUACGGGUGGCGAGUGGCGGACGGGUGAGGAAUACAUCGGAAUCUACUUUUUCGUGGGGGAUAACGUAGGGAAACUUACGCUAAUACCGCAGACGACCUACGGGUGAAAGCAGGGGAUCUUCGGACCUUGCGCGAUUGAAUGAGCCGAUGUCGGAUUAGCUAGUUGGCGGGGUAAAGGCCCACCAAGGCGACGAUCCGUAGCUGGUCUGAGAGGAUGAUCAGCCACACUGGAACUGAGACACGGUCCAGACUCCUACGGGAGGCAGCAGUGGGGAAUAUUGGACAAUGGGCGCAAGCCUGAUCCAGCCAUACCGCGUGGGUGAAGAAGGCCUUCGGGUUGUAAAGCCCUUUUGUUGGGAAAGAAAAGCAGCAGGUUAAUACCCCGCUGUUCUGACGGUACCCAAAGAAUAAGCACCGGCUAACUUCGUG
rnacentral:rRNA from 1 species